rnacentral:ncRNA from 15 species
GACAUAAUUAAAUAAUUUGCUCAUAUAAUUCCUGAAUAUGGAGGGAAGUUUCUACCAGAUAACCGUAAAUUGUCUGACUAUGAGUGGAAUCCUACUUAAU